AAUUAUGAAUUUUGGUAUUAUUUUUUUUUCAAAUUGUAUUUUUUGAAUUAUUAACGUUACAAAAAUUGUAACGUUAAUAUUAAUAGAGGCAAUAGGAAGCUGCCACUUGGCAUGAUCUGAAUGGGAGGCAGGAGAUCGACGUGCGUCAGAAUCUCCUGCAGCACGUCAGUUUUUUUUUUCUGCUUUCCUCCAUUGAUGGCGUGACAUGUGGCGAUUUCAUUUUUUUUAAGCGUUUCUUCUCUUUCCACUUCCAGCGUGGCUUGCAAACUUAUUUCAUGAACCAAUUCGGAUUUCUGAAUGGUUGAGUAUUGAUUCAUGUGUGAACCUUUUUUAUUUUCAUCAUUAAGAGAAAAAUUAAUGGUUCAUCCUCAUGAACCAUUUUUUUUUCAUCAUUAAGAGUGCUCUAAGUUUUGGAAUUUUCUACGCGGUGGAGAGAAAGAAUUUGUAUUCUCUCACGUGACCCUCUGUUAUUGUUUUACAAACAAAAGUGACAUUAAUGAGUAUAUUCCAUCCAAUAUUCUGUUAAAUUUGUUCUAAACACAAAUUCAUCCUUUAAUCUUCCUCACGUUCCCUUUUCUAAAAAUCGAUAGCCUCCAUUCUCCCUAUUACAGCCCCCGCCCUACCCCUCAUUUGGCACUAUAUGAGAGAAUUCGAGGGGGCGGGAUUUCCGGCAAGGACUCUAGUGUAGCAGACGCAACCAAGAUAUAAAAUCUCUGGUUGAUAUGAUACAUACUUCAUAUGGGAGAGCUAGUGAGGAAUCAUAGUUAGUCAAGGAGUUGUUAUUUUAUUUUUCUUUAAUCCAUUGUUAUAUAGUUGUACAAUAAAGUUAUUUCAAUAAAGAUAAUUUAGUUAAGUUA